CAAUCAAUCCUCCAAUCAAAAUCCAGGACACGGAGGAAGUAGCGCAAAAUGAUUCCCUCGUAAAAACUUGGAGUAAUAAUAAUAAUAAUAAUAAUAUCACUCUCUAAAAUCUCUAAAAGGUGUUGGAAGUUCAGUGGUUCCUCCACAUUUUGACAGUGCAAACGUUUCCUCUGAUUGGAGGUAAUAUUGUUUUGGAGGGGCACAGCCAGGGUCCUGACUUGAAUCUGAUGAUAGAGGAUGUUUGAGGGAAGAAAAGAGGUCUUCCAACCUCAAAGAAGCUGAAGCUCAUCACUGAAUAUAAACUGAAAUAUCAGUGACAUCAUGCAGAGAGCUGCUCAGUAAGUAUACAUUAUAGCUGUAAUGUCAAUUGCGAUUUCCCACUGAUUAU